ACAAACUUGGUCAUUUAGAGGAAGUAAAAGUCGUAACAAGGUUUCCGUAGGUGAACCUGCGGAAGGAUCAUUAUCGAUGGCCGCCGUGACCUCAUCGGGAUCGGCUGGCUAUUUGACCACACCCUUACUUUACGCGUACCUUUUGUUCUCCUUCGGCGGGGCAACCCGCCGCUGGAACUCAACAGAACCUUUUGUAUCUAGUAUUACCUGUUCCGAUAACCAUAAUCGUUACAACUUUCAACAAUGGAUCUCUUGGCUCUGGCAUCGAUGAAGAACGCAGC
rnacentral:misc_RNA from 1 species